GUAAAGGAGUUGAGGCUUGGCAUCAUGAAGAAAGCCUAUGAGAGGCUGUUGGUGAAGCAUAGUUACAGCAGAAGACAGCAGUGUUUGGAGAUACCAGUACCAUGAGAUGACCAGCAAGGACAGCAGCAGCAGUGGAGUACAGGCAGCUGGAAUAUAGAAGACAAGAUGUGUGCUACAAAGACCAGGGAUGGAGAAGUUACCCAAGCCCUUGGAGGAGCCCAGAAGAUUGAGCAAGUUGUAGUCUGAAAGGCUCCAAUGAGCAGCUGACUUAGACAGAUAAAGACAAUCACAACAUUGGGAACUCAUGGAAGAAUGAAUAUAAGGAAGGAUUAUGACUGGAAGAGGAUAGAAAUUUCAUAGGAAGACCAACAGAUUAAACUAACUUGGAUGCUUGGGACUCUCAAGAGACUGAGCCACCAACCAAAGAACAUACACAGGCUGAACCUAGGCCUCCAUAUACAUAUGCAGCAGAUGGGCAACUUGACCUUCAUAUGGAUCUGGAACAACUGGAAAGGAAGCUACCCUAAAUGCUGUUCCCUGUACAUAUAAUAUGUUCUAUUACCUGGUCUACCUUGUGUAGUCUCAAUGGGAGAGGAUGCAACUAGCCUACCGAGAGUUGAACUGCCAGGAUAGCAAGAAACCCAAAGAGAGCUCCAACCAAUCACGGCAGAAUAUGAGGGAUAUUAGGUUAAGGAUUGUGGGAGACAGUGACCAGGAAGGUGGCAGUAAGCAAGAUGUAAAGUGAGUAAGUUAAAAAUAUAUUAAAUUAAAUUC
rnacentral:lncRNA from 1 species